GGGGCGCAGCAGGCGCGAAAACUGCACAAUGUGGGCAACCACGAUGCGGGAAGCCCAAGUGCCAGCACUAUGUGUUGGCUGUCCUCGAGUGUUUACAACUCGGGAAGAAAGAGCUGGGUAAGACGGGUGCCAGCCGCCGCGGUAAUACCCGCAGCUCAAGUGGUGGUCAUUAUUAUUGGGCCUAAAGCGUCCGUAGCUGGCUUGUUAGAUGCCUGGGUAAAUCGAUGCGCUCAACGCAUCGAACUCCGGGUAGACCGGCAAGCUUGGGACCGGGAGAGGCGUGAGCUACUCGAGGGGUAGGGGUAAAGUCCUGCAAUCCUUCGGGGAGGACCAGUGGCGAAGGCGUCACGCUAGAACGGCUCCGACAGUGAGGGACGAAGCCCUGGGGCGCAAACCGGAUUAGAUACCCGGGUAGUCCAGGGUGUAAACGCUGCAGACUUGGUGUCGCUGAUCCUACGAGGGUUGGCGGUGCCGUAGAGAAGUUGUUUAGUCUGCCUCCUGGGGAGUACGGUCGCAAGACUGAAACUCAAAGGAAUUGACGGA
rnacentral:rRNA from 1 species